CAUGAAGUCGGAAUUGCUAGUAAUCGCGGAUCAGCAUGCCGCGGUGAAUACGUUCCCGGGCCUUGUACACACCGCCCGUCACACCAUGGGAGCCGGUAAUACCCGAAGUCAGUAGUCCAACCACGUGAGGACGCUGCCGAAGGUAGGAUUGGCGACUGGGGUGAAGUCGUAACAAGGUACC
rnacentral:rRNA from 1 species